AAUUGUUUGACGUCACAAGGUCAAAUUUGCAACAACGUUUGUGAUUGGUCGAUAUAGUCGAAAAUGGCAGCCCCUGCUUGACUCACAUGUUGAAGUUGUACGUUUGAUUAGCUGUUGAUAGAUAUAUGAGAAGGUUUAUAUGAUGUCAGGUCAUAUAAAGCAUGUAAAGGUUUCACAUAGUGAACUUUGUUAUGAUGCUGAGGUCUUAUUGCAACUUAAAGAAGACGUUUUGGAGAGGGAGACACUCAAAUCACAGUUUCCUUCAGCAGUGGGUUUGAGGUACCAUGUAGGAGGGGUGUUGAAAGCCGUUGCAGCUGAUACAAGAGGGUUUUCUUCUCCAGAUGGAGGUUGGGGAACAAGAAGAUAUAUUGUUGUAACAACAGCAGAAUGUGCUGGACAAGCAAGAGAUAUCAUUGGCAACAGGCCAAGUACAAGUGGAUUGGCUCAGCAGAUUGCUUCUGUGUUUAAGUCGUCAAAAGCCACUUCACACCCAAGGACACAUUUCUCACCAAUACAGGGAGCUGCCUCCAGAAAAGACAUCAGACAACAAAUGAAGAAGAAGAAGAAGUUAUUUGAAAAGUCAUAUAAAGUUGUUUUUAUUGGAAAUAUAAAAUUGCCAGGCAUUCUGUGUGCAGAUAUUAUCCUAGAAGAAGGAUUAAUUAACAUAAGUUCGGAGGAUACAGAGGACACUAUUAAAAACAAACUACUUGACAUAUUUGACAGUACUGACAAAGAUCCCACCAAGAUCAAUUUUUUAUCGUGCUCCCAUAAAAAAUUAUCCAAACCAAAUGUACCAUCAACAUUCAAAUUUGAUGGAAUAGGGCUGAAGGCUCUGAUUGGUCAAGGGAAGCUAUAUAUGUUCUUGUCGAGGGCCCUGAGUUCGAAAAUGAUAUGGACAUGAUGGAUCAAAACAAAUUAGAUGACACAGACAUGACAGACGAGGAACUUCCAGUAUUCGGCAAGACACACUCUUUACAGGAUAAAAACAAUAUUUGUACAGUGGCAGAAAAUUGUAUUCGUACUCGACACACAACAGAUACCCCAAGCAGACACAAAUGCAAGUAUGAACAGUGACCAGGAAAAUACAGGCUCAUCCCCAAAACCACAAACAGACAUCACCAAAACUGUGCAAAGUCAGGAUAUAGUGGAAGAUGAUCCGGAAGGUGAUCGGGAAGAUACAGGCACACCGACAAUAACAUUUCAUCCAUCGUGCUUAGAACGUAGAGAGCGUAGAUCUCGAUUAAGCUUGCGGUCAUCCACUGGUAAUGAUGCUCCGGCAUGUCCUUCAACUUACAGGUCAUAUGUCCAGCUGUUUGAAACUGAAAUAGUAACAGUUGAUGACUCUGAUGAUGAAGGUGACAAAACCAUACCAAUGGAUGUUGAUAUCAGUUUGCCAGAGUUAUUAAUAAAGUUACAGUCACAGGUUGACCUGGAGAAGAUAACGAAAUUCAAUAUCAACAGAAACCUUGUUUUAGAUGGUGCUCAGAGAGCCAUCAAAAGGAAAUCCUUCUGUGCUAAAAGCAAGAUAAGUGUGAAGUUUACGGACGAUGUAGGAAUCGCGGAAUUGCCAUAGAUGAAGGUGGACCAAAAAGAGAGUUCUUGAGAAUGCUGAUGAAAAAGAUCCAAUACCUGCACAUUUUUGAAGGUCCUGAAAACAGAAGAAUUUUGGCCUAUAGUACAUCAGCCCUAGAAGACAAUCUGUACAGAGAUGUUGGAUUAUUCUUUUCCCUAUCCAUUGUACACGGAGGACCAUCAACAAAAUUCCUUUCUCCAGCUAUGUACAAUGCGUUAGUGGGACAAGCUGGAGAAAGGAAUAUUGAAGAUAUAACAGAUGGUGACUUGAGAGGAGAAGUUCAAAAGAAGAUGAGGAUGGUGAAAUUACCUUAGGUGAUGUUUUAUCAUUUGCAACUGGAGCAGACAGUGUACCUCCAUUAGGAUUUGAUCCAUCACCAUCUAUUACUUUUCUUCAUGACUCAGGAUUGUUUCCAAAAGCAAACACAUGCUCAAUGGAGUUGAAGCUUCCAGUUUCAGUAGAUUUUAAUACAUUCAAAAAACUAAUGACUUUUGGAAUUGCAAACUCACCAGGCUUUGGACUGGCAUAAACCAUUCAUGGGAGCCUCUAAUUUUAAUACUCAUCCAUACUUCAUCUUCAUUUUUUGUCUUGCCUGGUGCAAAGGUUGUUACAAAUACAAAUUUGAAUAUUUCUGUAUAAAUAUAUUGAUCAUAUAAAUUCUUAUACAAAUGGUAUCAUGUUGUCGUUGUCCAUAGACAUUUGGUUUUCACACGAUAACUUUAGUAUAAGUAAAUAAAAGUCUAUGAAAUUUAAACACAUGGUUUUUCACCACAAAAAGAAGGUUGGGAUUGAUAUUUGGAGUUUUGGUCCUAACAGUUUAGGAGGAAGAGGCCAAAAGGGUAAAAUUUUAACUCUUUUUUUGUUGAUUUCAUCAAAAAUUGAAUUAUUUGAUAUGUCGAUUCUAACCGUGUAUUUGGAUUCUGAAUUUUUGGUCCUGUUUUCGAAUUGGUCUACAUUAAGAUCCAAAGGGUCCAAAAUUAAACUUAGUUUGAUUUUAACAAAAAAAUAAUUCUUGGGGUUGUUUGAUAUGCUGAAUCUGAAAAUGUAUGAAUUUUAAUUAUGGGCCCAGUUUUCAAGUUGGUCCAAAUAGGGGUUCAAAUUAAACUUUUGUUUGAUUUCAACCAAAAUUGAAUAUAAGGGGUUCGUUCUUUGACAUGCUCAAUCUAACCAUGUAUUUAGAUUUUUGAUAUUUGGGCCCCGUUAUCAAAUUGGACCACAUUAAGGUCUAAAGGGUCCAAAAUUGCAACUUUAUUUGAUUUCAUCAAAAAUUGAGUUCUUGUGGUUCUUUGAUACGCUGAAUCUAACCAUGUAUUUAAAUUUUGGAAAAUGGACCAUAAAAAGUGAAUGUCCAAUUUUAAACUUUUCAGCUUUUAGACCCCAUUCAUUCUGUGUCAGAAACCUAUGCAGUUUCAACUUUUUAAUCACAAUCCAAAUUCAGAGCUGUAUGAAACUCGAAUGUUGUGUCCAUAUUUGCUCCCACUUUUCAGGGUUCCACUUCUGCGGUGGUGUCAAGCUGUGCCCUGCCAAACAUUUUAUUAUGUUAUAGUUUUGAACAACAAGAAACUCAGGUGUAUUAUAUGUUAAAUUGUUGUUUGACUCAAACUGCACAGACAUCUGAGUUUGAUUAUUUUGUAAAACAUGUAUAACAGUUAGGGAAACUGAUGAGUUGUUGAAAAUAAAAUAUUUAGAUCUAAUGUUAUCAUAAUACUAUGAACUUUUGUUUUGCAAUUUAUGGAGAACAUAACUGUCAGGUUUAUUUUCAUUAAAAUGUUUUAUUAAA